GACAGACCUGGACAUGGAAGCAGGUGUGGAUACGCCAUCAGCAUCAGAGAGCUGGUUAUUUACCGAAGGUGUUAUAAAUUACAGGAGUGAAUGUUUAUUUCGGCUUUGACGUCCAGCAGGAAUUCCUCAGCCAAUCACUUAUAAGAAUGGACGUCAAGUCACUUCUGAGGGGUUUCAGACCAGGAAGAAUGGCAUACAGUAUAUCACAACUGUGGCAUAAUUACCCCAUGACAAAUGGAGAGUUCACAUUGCCCUGAAAGCCUAUUGUUGUGCUGUGGAAACAUACAGCCGAAACAGAGAGCAGUACUUCUCAGGAAACACAUGGAUUUAGGAUUACCUCACCAGCUGAUUCAUAAAACUCAACCUAUGACGUAUAACAGAUCCUUACCGACUCUGAAGCCCAUGCCAAAGUAUCGCCUCUGUGGAGAAGCUAAAUAGCACAACCACUCAGCGAUCUUCUGAGGAAUUCAUACUACAAAUUUCUCCUUUGUGUUGGUCCCUGAAAGAGUUCAAAACUGUUUCUCCAACGCUUUUUUCAAAAACUCAGACUGUUUUCCAAAGCAGAAGUGGCCCAGCCA